rnacentral:rRNA from 1 species
GAUGAACGCUAGCGGCAGGCUUAAUACAUGCAAGUCGUGGGGCAGCAUGAGUAGCAAUACUUGAUGGCGACCGGCAAACGGGUGAGGAACACGUACACAACCUUCCUUCAAGCAGGGAAUAGCCCAGAGAAAUUUGGAUUAAUACCCCAUAAUAUAUUUGAUAAGGCAUCUUAUUAAUAUUAAAGCUUCGGCACUUGAUGAUGGGUGUGCGGCUGAUUAGAUAGUUGGCGGGGUAACGGCCCACCAAGUCUACGAUCAGUAGCUGAUGUGAGAGCAUGAUCAGCCACACGGGCACUGAGACACGGGCCCGACUCCUACGGGAGCAGCAGUAAGGAAUAUUGGACAAUGGACGAAAGUCUGAUCCAGCCAUGCCGCGUGAAGGAUUAAGGUCCUCUGGAUUGUAAACUUCUUUAUAUGGGACGAAAAAAGGGCAUUCUUGUUCACUUGACGGUACCAUAUGAAUAAGCACCGGCUAACUCCGUG